rnacentral:rRNA from 1 species
CCUACGGGGAGCAGCAGUGAGGAAUAUUGGUCAAUGGACGAGAGUCUGAACCAGCCAAGUAGCGUGAAGGAUGACUGCCCUAUGGGUUGUAAACUUCUUUUAUAUGGGAAUAAAACGUUCCACGUGUGGGAUUUUGUAUGUACCAUAUGAAUAAGGAUCGGCUAACUCCGUUCCAGCAGCCGCGGUAAUACGGAGGAUCCGAGCGUUAUCCGGAUUUAUUGGGUUUAAAGGGAGCGUAGGUGGAUUGUUAAGUCAGUUGUGAAAGUUUGCGGCUCAACCGUAAAAUUGCAGUUGAAACUGGCAGUCUUGAGUACAGUAGAGGUGGGCGGAAUUCGUGGUGUAGCGGUGAAAUGCUUAGAUAUCACGAAGAACUCCGAUUGCGAAGGCAGUUCACUGGACUGCAACUGACACUGAGGCUCGAAAGUGUGGGUAUCAAACAGGAUUAGAUACCCUGGUAGUC